rnacentral:rRNA from 1 species
AAGACGUAGGGAGCGAGCGUUGUCCGGAUUCAUUGGGCGUAAAGAGCUCGUAGGCGGUUUGUCGCGUCGACUGUGAAAACCCGAGGCUUAACCUCGGGCCUGCAGUCGAUACGGGCAGACUAGAGUUCGGUAGGGGAGACUGGAAUUCCUGGUGUAGCGGUGAAAUGCGCAGAUAUCAGGAGGAACACCGGUGGCGAAGGCGGGUCUCUGGGCCGAUACUGACGCUGAGGAGCGAAAGCGUGGGGAGCGAACAGG